rnacentral:rRNA from 1 species
AAUCGGUGAAAUUGAUCUCCCUGUACAAAAGCAGGGAUAACACCAUAAGACGAGAAGACCCUGUGGAACUUCAAAAACAGCAACCACCCCAAAUUACAUGCACCCCCACCCCGGGCACACUACUCCUAAAGCACUGGUUUGCAUUUUUUCGGUUGGGGCAACCUUGGAGCAAAACAGAACCUCCAAAAAUUGGACCAUCCAUCCAGACUAAGAGCGACAUCUCAACGUGCUAAUAGUACCCAGACCCAAUACAAUUGAUCAAUGGACCAAGCUACCCCAGGGAUAACAGCGCAAUCUCCCCCAAGAGUCCAUAUCGACGGGGAGGUUUACGACCUCGAUGUUGGAUCAGGACAUCCUAGUGGUGCAGCAGCUACUAAGGGUUCGUUUGUUCAACGAUUAACAGUCCUACGUGAUCUGAGUUCAGACCGGAGCAAUCCAGGUCGGUUUCCAUCUAUGACGAACUCUUCCCCGUACGAAAGGAUCGGAAAAGUGAGGCCAAUACCACAGGCACGCCUUCGCCUUAAGUAAUGAAGCCAACUCAAUUACAAAAGGCUAUCACACUCCCCCACGUCCUAGAAAAGG